GCGGCUGAGAGAUUCUGGUGGCAAGGCGACAAACCAAAACGCUGAGACAACGGGACAGCCAGAGACAUUUCCACUCCUCUGCGGGGCCAACGACACAUGAGCCAGAGCAAUGCAGAUGAGUAAGUGCUAUGCCCUGCGUCAAGUCGAAGCAGGAGAGCUGCCUUAUAAAACUAAGGUUUUCUGGUAUCACUGCAUAUAUCUAGCCCAAUUUCACGCUAUGGAUUAUGGGAAUGGAGGUGGGCCAUUUUGCAGUAGCAGUUGUAAUAAACUGGGUCAUAAACAUGAAGCAGAAACUUCACUUUUAUUUUCUGUGCGAUGAGCUCACAACCUUUAAGAAAUGACUUCAGUGAUCUCAAAUUCCAGCCCUGCAAGGAAGGAGAGUCUCUUAUGCUGUUCGUCAUGCCCUCGUUAGUAGGAAUCUAUAACUGACAUAUAAUUCGUUGUUUCCUGGUGUGUACUGCUCUGCUCACUGUUGCAGUUGUGUUAUUUCCAGUACGUAUUUUUCUCCCGUAAUCUGGACAAGUGCUUCCCAAUCCGGCCCUCGGAGACCCCCGGACAGUCGACCUUUUCCUCCUUCCCAGACAGUUUUGCUCCCCUCCCAGGGACUGGAUUGGGAAACACUGAUCUAGACUUUAUAAUCUUCUCAUAGCACAAAGGAAUCAUGGGACACAAAGUAUUACAAACCAGACUUUUCAAAACAAGUUUUAUGACAUAACGAAGUUGGGGAACAGAAUGCAUUUCAGGAAGGAAAAUACAUUUAUAAACAUCUACUGCAAUAAACUGAGUCUUGCUGAUUUUCAGGAAAUUGUACUGCUUUCCUGCUCACAGUGAAUGUAAUACAUUUUUGGGUCUAAGUGCCAUAUAUAUUAUAUCACAUCUGGCUCUAUAUUUAAUACUAUAUAUUGUUCAUAUUCACUUAUAUCACCUUUAUUGAUUUUCAUUUCAUUUUACAAGGUUCACCAAUAUAUCUUAACACUUAUAUAUUUUCAAAGAUUGUUGUAAGAUUUUUAAAGGAAUAAAUGAAUUUGUUUUGGGGCGCAUUUUGUGUUAAGAAUGUUUAUUAUCGGUCAGGGUUGGUGCCAUGUGUGCGUUGGGCAGUGAGUGUGUGAGUGAAUGUGAGCGGACUUCCUCAGUGCGCUGACCUUACGCAUGCAGCAAUGCCUCUGCCUUCUUAAUACCACCGCACACUAAAUUACUGACCCACAGCAUGGCGACGAGAAGAUCGCCCUGAGCUGGGGGGCACAGCCAGCCAGAGGGUCUACCUGCAGAGGCUCUACGAAGGAACACGUCGAAUCGUCAGUCCCAGGGGCGUUUAAGGGGCUGAAUGGCGGUGCUGCGUCCUGCAGUGUGUGGAGCUCUGGGAGAGAGCUGGAUGAUGACUGGCAAUGAGGCCGCCAAGGCAGGCAGUAAUGCAGCAGACGAUGGUGCGGAAUCGCCCCAGAGAGACGCCUCGGCAGCGAAGCGGAGGCGGUCAGUGGUGACGGUAUCUGCUGGCCUGCGGAGGAGGCGGGAGCACAGACGUCCCGGCGUUGCUGCCGCAAGCAGCCUGCUGCUGCUGGACAAACACCAGGAAAAAAUGUGUCUCAGUGCAUAUUGUACAAUUCAACCCGUCGGACACAAAGAGCGCAGAGCUCAGUGGGCAGGCAUGUGGGAUGCUGGCGUGGGCCCAGGCUUCCAGAAAGGGGCCCGAGACAAUCUUCAGUGAUCCUGCUCCCAAACGCAAAGCCGUGAUUCACCGCCUCCCAGCACAAACAGACACACAGCGUUCUAAUGAAAAUUAACCGCGCCGGCUGCAGGCGCAGGGCCGUGGCAGAAAGAGGCAGCUCGGAGCGGCGGAGGGACACGUCGUAAAACCGGAGCACGCCAUCCGCGCACCGAGAUACAAACAGCUUCCUCAAGAGGUGUGUGCUCCAGUUUUAGAUGCUGUCAUGCUCUUUUCAGCUAUGCUGAAUCAGUAACAGUACCCAGAUAAGUCAUCUGGACAUGUAGGUCAACCUUCUCUCAGAA